rnacentral:rRNA from 1 species
GACGUAGGGCGCGAGCGUUGUCCGGAUUUAUUGGGCGUAAAGAGCUCGUAGGCGGCUUGUCGCGUCGACUGUGAAAACCCGCGGCUCAACCGCGGGCCUGCAGCCGAUACGGGCAGGCUAGAGUUCGGUAGGGGAGACUGGAAUUCCUGGUGUAGCGGUGAAAUGCGCAGAUAUCAGGAGGAACACCAAUGGCGAAGGCAGCUCGCUGGGACGUUACUGACGCUGAGACGCGAAAGCGUGGGGAGCAAACAGG